UGGGGAAUAUUGGACAAUGGGCGAAAGCCUGAUCCAGCCAUGCCGCGUGUGUGAAGAAGGACUUCGGAUUGUAAAGCACUUUAAGUUGGGAGGAAGGGCAGUAAGCGAAUACCUUGCUGUUUUGACGUUACCGACAGAAUAAGCACCGGCUAACUCUGUGCCAGCAGCCGCGGUAAUACAGAGGGUGCAAGCGUUAAUCGGAAUUACUGGGCGUAAAGCGCGCGUAGGUGGUUCGUUAAGUUGAAUGUGAAAGCCCCGGGCUCAACCUGGGAACUGCAUCCAAAACUGGCGAGCUAGAGUAGGGCAGAGGGUGGUGGAAUUUCCUGUGUAGCGGUGAAAUGCGUAGAUAUAGGAAGGAACACCAGUGGCGAAGGCGACCACCUGGGCUCAUACUGACACUGAGGUGCGAAAGCGUGGGGAGCAAACAGG
rnacentral:rRNA from 1 species